UACGUAGGGGGCUAGCGUUGUCCGGAAUCAUUGGGCGUAAAGCGCGUGUAGGCGGCCCGAUAAGUCCGCUGUGAAAGUCCAGGGCUCAACCCUGGGAUGCCGGUGGAUACUGUCGGGCUCGAGUCCGGAAGAGGCGAGUGGAAUUCCUGGUGUAGCGGUGAAAUGCGCAGAUAUCGAGAGGAACACCUGCGGCGAAGGCGGGUUGCUGGGCUGACACUGACGCUGAGGCGCGAAAGCUAGGGGAGCGAACGGG
rnacentral:rRNA from 1 species